AAAAACCCCGUAGACGAAAUGUGGAAGACACCUAGGAGGAUCCUGAGUACGGCGGAACACGAGAAAUUCCGUCGGAAUCCGGGAGGACCAUCUCCCAAGGCUAAAUACUCCCUAGUGACCGAUAGUGAACCAGUACCGUGAGGGAAAGGUGAAAAGCACCCCGGAAGGGGAGUGAAAUAGAACCUGAAACCGUGUGCCUACAACAAGUCAAAGCCCGUUAAUGGGUGAUGGCGUGCCUUUUGUAGAAUGAACCGGCGAGUUACGAUUGCAUGCGAGGUUAAGUUGAAGAGACGGAGCCGCAGCGAAAGCGAGUCUGAAUAGGGCGUUUGAGUAUGUAGUCGUAGACCCGAAACCAUGUGAUCUACCCAUGUCCAGGUUGAAGGUGCGGUAAAACGCACUGGAGGACCGAACCCACGUACGUUGAAAAGUGCGGGGAUGAGGUGUGGGUAGCGGAGAAAUUCCAAACGAACUUGGAGAUAGCUGGUUCUCUCCGAAAUAGCUUUAGGGCUAGCCUCGGAAUUGAGAAUGAUGGAGGUAGAGCACUGUUUGGACUAGGGGCCCAUCUCGGGUUACCGAAUUCAGAUAAACUCCGAAUGCCAUUCAUUCAUAUCCGGGAGUCAGACUGUGAGUGAUAAGAUCCAUAGUCGAAAGGGAAACAGCCCAGACCACCAGCUAAGGUCCCAAAAUAUAUGUUAAGUGGAAAAGGAUGUGGGGUUGCACAGACAACUAGGAUGUUGGCUUAGAAGCAGCCAUCAUUUAAAGAGUGCGUAAUAGCUCACUAGUCGAGUGACCCUGCGCCGAAAAUGUACCGGGGCUAAACAUAUUACCGAAGCUGUGGAGUACACCUUUAGGUGUAUUGGUAGGAGAGCGUUCUAAGGGCGUUGAAGGCAGAUCGUGAGGACUGCUGGAGCGCUUAGAAGUGAGAAUGCCGGUAUGAGUAGCGAAAGACAGGUGAGAAUCCUGUCCACCGAAUGACUAAGGUUUCCUGGGGAAGGCUCGUCCGCCCAGGGUUAGUCGGGACCUAAGCCGAGGCCGACAGGCGUAGGCGAUGGAUAACAGGUUGAUAUUCCUGUACCCGUUGUUUUUGUUUGAGCAAUGGAGGGACGCAGGAGGCUAAGGAAUGCAGACGAUCGGAAAUGUCUGUCCAAGCAGUAAGUCUGAAGAGGAGUCAAAUGCUUCUUUUCUUAAGGACAAGCUGUGAUGGGGAGGGAAAUAAUAGUACCGAAGUUCCUGAUGUCACACUGCCGAGAAAAGCUUCUAGUGAGAAAACAGCGGCCCGUACCGCAAACCGACACAGGUAGUCGAGGAGAGAAUCCUAAGGUGAGCGAGAGAACUCUCGUUAAGGAACUCGGCAAAAUGACCCCGUAACUUCGGGAGAAGGGGUGCUGAUCAUACGAUCAGCCGCAGUGAAUAGGCCCAAGCGACUGUUUAUCAAAAACACAGGUCUCUGCAAAAUCGUAAGAUGAAGUAUAGGGGCUGACGCCUGCCCGGUGCUGGAAGGUUAAGAGGAGUGCUUAGCGCAAGCGAAGGUACGAAUUGAAGCCCCAGUAAACGGCGGCCGUAACUAUAACGGUCCUAAGGUAGCGAAAUUCCUUGUCGGGUAAGUUCCGACCCGCACGAAAGGCGUAACGAUUUGGGCACUGUCUCAACGAGAGACUCGGUGAAAUUUUAGUACCUGUGAAGAUGCAGGUUACCCGCGACAGGACGGAAAGACCCCAUGGAGCUUUACUGUAGUUUGAUAUUGAGUGUCUGUACCGCAUGUACAGGAUAGGUAGGAGCCGUAGAAAUCGGAACGCUAGUUUCGAUGGAGGCGCUGGUGGGAUACUACCCCUGCGUUAUGGCCACUCUAACCCGCACCACUAAUCGUGGUGGGAGACAGUGUCAGAUGGGCAGUUUGACUGGGGCGGUCGCCUCCUAAAAGGUAACGGAGGCGCCCAAAGGUUCCCUCAGAAUGGUUGGAAAUCAUUCGAAGAGUGUAAAGGCAGAAGGGAGCUUGACUGCGAGACCAACAAGUCGAGCAGGGACGAAAGUCGGGCUUAGUGAUCCGGUGGUUCCGCAUGGAAGGGCCAUCGCUCAACGGAUAAAAGCUACCCUGGGGAUAACAGGCUUAUCUCCCCCAAGAGUCCACAUCGACGGGGAGGUUUGGCACCUCGAUGUCGGCUCGUCGCAUCCUGGGGCUGUAGUCGGUCCCAAGGGUUGGGCUGUUCGCCCAUUAAAGCGGCACGCGAGCUGGGUUCAGAACGUCGUGAGACAGUUCGGUCCCUAUCCGUCGCGGGCGUUGGAAAUUUGAGAGGAGCUGUCCUUAGUACGAGAGGACCGGGAUGGACUUACCGCUGGUGUACCAGUUGUUCUGCCAAGGGCAUUGCUGGGUAGCUAUGUAGGGAAGGGAUAAACGCUGAAAGCAUCUAAGUGUGAAGCCCACCUCAAGAUGAGAUUUCCCAUUUCUUUAAGAAAGUAAGAUCCCUGAGAGAUGAUCAGGUAGAUAGGUCAGGAGUGGAAGUACAGUGAUGUAUGGAGCGGACUGAUACUAAUCGAUCGAGGACUUAACCAA
rnacentral:rRNA from 1 species